rnacentral:rRNA from 1 species
UACAGAGGGUGCGAGCGUUGUCCGGAAUCACUGGGCGUAAAGGGCGCGUAGGUGGCUUGGUAAGCGUGUGGUGAAAGUCCGGAGCUCAACCCCGGAUCUGCCGUGCGAACUGCCGAGCUCGAGCAUUGUAGAGGCAGGUGGAAUUCCGGGUGUAGCGGUGGAAUGCGUAGAGAUCCGGAAGAACACCAGUGGCGAAGGCGGCCUGCUGGGCAAUAGCUGACACUGAGGCGCGACAGCGUGGGGAGCAAACAGGAUUAGAAACCCCAGUAGU